rnacentral:lncRNA from 1 species
GCCGGGAUGAACCCGGCGAGGGUGUUCGGCCCGGCGCUCGUCGGCUGGCGCUGGAGGCACCACUGGGUGUACUGGCUCGGCCCCUUCGUCGGCGCCGGCCUCGCCGGGCUUCUCUACGAGUACCUCGUCAUCCCGUCAGCCGACGCCGCCCCGCACGGCGGCGCGCACCAGCCGCUGGCGCCGGAGGACUACUAGACCCGCCGCCGGCGACCUCCAGCUACAAUAUCUAUUAGCUAUGUGUGUGUGGUUGUUUGUGAGUGUGAUUAAGUGGUUAAUAAGGGGUGGUGUGUUUGCUUGCCCCAGUGCUGGGA